CAGCCGUAAACUAUGCGCGUUAGGUGUACUGGUGACCACGAGUCACCGGGGUGCCGAAGGGAAACCGUGAAACGUGCCGCCUGGGAAGUACGGUCGCAAGGCUGAAACUUAAAGGAAUUGGCGGGGGGAGCACCACAACGGGUGGAGCCUGCGGUUUAAUUGGACUCAACGCCGGGAAGCUCACCGGAUAGGACAGACAUAUGAUAGUCGGGCUGAAGACUCUACUUGAUGAUCUGAGAGGUGGUGCAUGGCGUCAGUGACU
rnacentral:rRNA from 1 species